UUGGAUUCAAGACUUCAAGUUGGAUAGUCUUUUAAAGCUUACUGACACUCGUGCUUCUAACAAUAAGAUGACACUGAUGCACUAUCUUUGCAAGGUUCUAGCUGAUAGGUCGCCUGGACUGCUUGACUUCCACUUAGACCUUGUAAGCAUGGAAGCUGUGACUAAGGUGAUGAUUUAUGCUUGGUUGGAAAAAGAAAAUUAUUCAACUGCUAAUUGCUAGUUUGGUUGGUUUAUUGGUUCUGUUUCACUUUGUUCCCCUGUAAAACUGAGCACAUAUCUCCUCCUCUGACUUCUUGCAAUGAUAUGUGUGUCACAUGAAUUAAGAGUUAACUUACACUUUAGAAGUAUGCUACUACUGAUCAAUGCUACUACAUGAAUUAAAAAAAUAAUAAUUAUUUAAAAGUUUCAAAACAUUAGCAUCUGUGUGUUCUAUUUCAUUGAGUAUAAAAGUUAACUCUCCCUCUUGUUCAUAAUCAUGUUCUAUAUGUUGCUGCUGCAUGUAGUAGUAGUAGUUGGAGGAGUAAUAAUUCAAGAUUGGCUUGUGUAGGAGAGUUCAACUUUUCAAAUGUGAAGAGAAUAG